rnacentral:rRNA from 1 species
AACGAACGCUGGCGGCAUGCCUAACACAUGCAAGUCGAACGCGUGACUUCGGUCACGAGUGGCGCACGGGUGAGUAGCGCGUGGGAACCUGCCUUUGGGUUCGGGAUAACCGCGGGAAACUGCGGCUAAUACCGGAUGUCCCCUGCGGGGGAAAGAUUUAUCGCCCAGAGAGGGGCCCGCGUCCGAUUAGGUAGUUGGUGAGGUAACGGCUCACCAAGCCUGCGAUCGGUAGCUGGUCUGAGAGGAUGAUCAGCCACACUGGGACUGAGACACGGCCCAGACUCCUACGGGAGGCAGCAGUGGGGAAUAUUGGACAAUGGGGGCAACCCUGAUCCAGCAAUGCCGCGUGAGUGAUGAAGGCCUUCGGGUUGUAAAGCUCUUUCGCCCACGACGAUGGUGACGGUAGUGGGAGAAGAAGCCCCGGCUAACUUCGUGCCAGCCGCCGCCGUAAGAC